rnacentral:rRNA from 1 species
CCUACGGGAGGCAGCAGUGGGGAAUAUUGCGCAAUGGGCGAAAGCCUGACGCAGCGACGCCGCGUGAGGGAUGAAGGUCUUCGGAUCGUAAACCUCUGUCAGCAGGGAAGAACGGUCACUGUGCUAAUCAGCAGUGACUUGACGGUACCUGCAACGGAAGCACCGGCUAACUCCGUGCCAGCAGCCGCGGUAAUACGGAGGGUGCGGGCGUUAAGCGGAAUUACUGGGCGUAAAGCGCUCGUAGGCGGUAUGUCAAGUCAAGGGUGAAAUCCCCGCGCUCAACGUGGGAACUGCCUGUGAAACUGGCAAACUGGAGUGUGUGAGAGGAUAGUGGAAUUCCAGGUGUAGGAGUGAAAUCCGUAGAGAUCUGGAGGAACAUCAGUGGCGAAGGCGACUAUCUGGCACAUAACUGACGCUGAGGAGCGAAAGCGUGGGUAGCAAACAGGAUUAGAUACCCUUGUAGUC